CUUGAGCCUGUUGUCUUUUCCUGAAAGAGAUAAGGUGAGCUCCAUGUUCCAGUGGAGGGGUACUAUAAGAAGCUGUCAUGUCUCACCUGAUAGUUAGUGUAUUUCCUGCAAAGGGUAAUAAGGUAUCUAUUGCUUCCGGGUAACUCAGAAUCCUGGUGGGAUUUCAUCUGCUGUUGCACCACUCUUCAGCAGAAUCAAUCUCCUGUAUUUCCCUUGGAGAGUGUAUAAUAUGUGGAAAGCAUAUUUCAGCACCUCUGAAGGAAAGUUCAUCAUGUAAGAAGUUUUAAAUGCUAGAAGAAAUUCCAAUAAAGAAUUGAUAAAUUCUCAGUGCACUGGACUGUUGGAUAAAAGAGUCACCAACAGUGCCAUACUUGUCUGUCUUUAGACUGAACCUUGAAGAAGGCAUUUCUGGAUUGGGCAGAAGCUUUUCUGUUGACCCCCUGAAAGGAAGUGAGUGGCAGUGGUGUGUAACACCUCUGAUGAGCAACCCCUCAGUGUACGGAUGUGGUGUGACGCAUUGCAGCGCCUGCUUUAGCA